rnacentral:rRNA from 1 species
UACAGAGGUCUCAAGCGUUGUUCGGAUUCAUUGGGCGUAAAGGGUGCGUAGGCGGUGCGUUAAGUCUGAUGUGAAAGCCCUGGGCUCAACUCAGGAAUUGCAUUGGAAACUGGCGUGCUGGAGUACCGGAGAGGGAAGCGGAGUUCCUGGUGUAGCGGUGAAAUGCGCAGAUAUCAGGAAGAACACCCGUGGCGAAGGCGGCUCUCUGGGACGGUACUGACGCUGAGACGCGAAAGCGUGGGGAGCGAACAGG